rnacentral:rRNA from 1 species
AUCGAACGCUGGCGGCAGGCCUAACACAUGCAAGUCGAGCGAGCGGCGGACGGGUGAGUAAUGUAUGGGGACUGCCCGAUAGAGGGGGAUAACUACUGGAAACGGUGGCUAAUACCGCAUACUAUCGGCUACCCCACAUGGGAUUAGCUACUCGGUGGGGUAAAGGCUCACCUAGGCGACGAUCCCUAGCUGGUCUGAGAGGAUGAUCAGCCACACUGGGACUGAGACACGGCCCAGACUCCUACGGAGGCAGCAGUGGGGAAUAUUGGACAAUGGGCGCAAGCCUGAUGGAGCCAGGCCGCGUGUAUGAAGAAGGUCUUAGGGUUGUAAAGCACUUUCGGUAGGGAGGCGUUAUCCACAGAGGAAGCACCGGCUAACUCCGUGCCAGCAGCCGCGGUAAUAC